rnacentral:rRNA from 1 species
UACAGAGGGUGCAAGCGUUGUCCGGAAUCAUUGGGCGUAAAGAGCGUGUAGGCGGCUCGAUAAGUCUGCUGUGAAAUUCCAGGGCUCAACCCUGGAAGGCCGGUGGAAACUGUCGGGCUAGAGUCCGGAAGAGGCGAGUGGAAUUCCCGGUGUAGCGGUGAAAUGCGCAGAUAUCGGGAGGAACACCAAUGGCGAAGGCAGCUCGCUGGGACGGUACUGACGCUGAGACGCGAAAGCGUGGGGAGCAAACAGG